CCAGGGAAUAGGCGCAGAAUCAAUGGCAAGCCGAGUCGACAGGUGACUUCACACAUCAAAUCGAAUCAAUGGUGUUUUUCUACUGGCACAUCAGUGCAAAAAAAUGACAAUUGAUAGCCUCUCCUUUAGCUAUCAUACCAUGUGUUGUGUCACUAAGUUACGAUCUCAGCUGCGGUCUACAUAUUUUCAGAUUAAUGAAGCUUAUAGCCCUCCAAUGCAGUAUUUGUAUGCCUUACAAAACUAUCCGAGUAUUGCAAAAUUGCAUGAUACAUCAAAUUGGAGCGUAGCCUACAUACUUAUGGACUGUGGACUUAUGUUGCUUAUUUAGAGGCUGCCGUACAUGGAUCAGAUAUGAUAUUGAUUGCAGAAAUUUCUAUACGACUCUUGUGGAUUUCAACAUUGUUCUUCUCCCUAAUUUAGGAAAACUACAAGUAUUUGGUGCACGAUCUAAAAUAGCUGCAGGCUAAUCCUCCCCUAAUGUUCAUAAUGUUCUGUGGUACACAAUAUGGGUAAAGGAGAGCACAUUGCUCUAAUGUUUUUGCAUAUGAUAUUAAAUCAGACAUUUCAGUGGAUAAUAUAUGGUAUUGACUUGGACAUUGGUGUUGUGGAACAAUCUAGCAGGUAUUGGAUCUUAUAGAAUUAUAGAGUUGGCAGGGUCUGAAAAUCAUGGUGUUGGUGUUUCAGCCUAUUAAUCUGUAGAUAAAGAAAUUCCGUACAUCUCUACAAAUAAUCCUGAAGAAAGUUCUACUAUUGCGAACGCUCCAACUGAACAAGAAAUAUGAUUUAUUUUUUUAAUUGAAGAAGAAGCCAGUUUCUCGAGAAGGAAUACAGAAUAAUAUUUUGGAUUAUUUACUUGAGGUCUCAGAUUCAUCGCAUCAACCGUGUGGGGUAGUAUGCAAGGAUCAACCGAUGUGGAUAACAAAAUCUGGGUGCGAGCUUCCGGGAAAUCUAAUUGGGUCUAUGCAAACAAGCAGAUUUGGAAGAUAAUCCCUGUACAUGUAUGACUAUACGAACUCUUCUUCCCUCCAGGCAAUAGAGUUUAGCUUCAGUAAGCAAGUGCUAAGAUAACUUGCAUUCAUAACUCUGCUGCUGAUCAAGUCAAGUGUCUGUAUUUGGUGUUCAGGUUGAUUUGGCAAAUCUUUGACAGUAGCUGUGGGUCUUAUACUGAUGACAAUCAACGUGUCUUUUCCGACCAACCAGGGGUCGAUUCCAACAUAUGUUUUUCUCUUAUAUAAGGGCAGUGACUUCACUACGUUAGGCUGGAUGAUUCGAUGUUUAGUAGCUUCAUCAAACUGGAUGCUAGCAAAGUGAUAAAAUUUUGGAUGUUUUCGGAAAUAUAGCAUCACGAGCCCAAUAAGAGAAAAAAAUCAAACAUCA